AAACUCUACGCUUGAAUCUUCGGAAUCCACCGAAGAGAUCUCUCUCUUGAAUUUAAAGUAACCAACUCCUUGAUGUAUGUAUCUUAGAUCAUGAUUGAAGAACUCUUCUCAAAACAUCAAGGAAACCUCACAAAAACCUCAGAACCAAACUUCCAACAAAAGCCUAGGACUCUUGAAUAAGAUCUAGAAAAAACAGUCCUAAAAACAACCUAAAUAGAUAUAAAUAGGAAUCCUGAAUCCGCGAUCUCCGCUCGAGCGCCCAACAGCCCGCUCGAGCGGCUUCAACAAAAUGCGCGUGUGGUAACACAGUGGCCCGCUCGAGCGCUUUAUAACCCGCUUGAGCGCAAAAUCACGCACUCCAGUACUUUUACACUCCAGUACUUUUACAGACCUGUCAAAAUACUGAGAGACCACAAACUCCGCUCGAGCGUCAAUGUCCCCGCUCGAGCGGGAAGAACAAAAACACAGAAAAAUUAACAACUUUAACAACACAAAGUUUUGUAUCCGGAUUUGACAAUCAAGGGACCUAACAACAGUGAACUAGCAGAUGUGGCUGCCGUUAGUUCACGUGGGUGCGCCUCAGUUAUGCAUGUAGAUUGUGAUGCUUUGAGGCUAAAGCAAGUUGAGGAACAUUGUUACUACAAUAGGAGGGCCACCACGUGGGCGUGGUUGUUAAUAGGCCACCCAUGCUAACUGGUUGAUUGCGUGUUGCUGCCUCUUGUGGUGAUUCAAAAUUGGUUUGGUUUUUGAAUGGCUCGGGUGGGCCCGAAACACGUGGGUUUACAUGAGGUGAGGUUUGAGGAAUCAUAUUGAAAGUCGGAGGGCUUGUCGUGAUUUUCACAAUGAUGAUCUUGGAUACAUAAUCGGGCGAUGUCUGCAUUUUUGGAUUAACUCUUCUUCUAGCUUGAGGUGGGCAUUCCUACUCAUUCUUAUGUGUUUUAACAUAAAUGUUGAGUUAUUUGUAUAGAUGGUUUGAUUUGGGAAGUUAGGGUUUGAGAUGUAUAAUGUUGAAAAGAGGGGUUUUGUUCAAUUGACUCAUAUCUAUGUGUUUUGGGUUUAAAAUAGAGAUUGUUGAUAUUUUUGAUAA